rnacentral:rRNA from 1 species
AACAGGAUUAGAUACCCUGGUAGUCCACGCCGUAAACGAUGAGUGCUAAGUGUUAGAGGGUUUCCGCCCUUUAGUGCUGCAGCUAACGCAUUAAGCACUCCGCCUGGGGAGUACGGCCGCAAGGCUGAAACUCAAAGGGAUUGACGGGGGCCCGCACAAGCGGUGGAGCAUGUGGUUUAAUUCGAAGCAACGCGAAGAACCUUACCAGGUCUUGACAUCCUCUGCCAACCCUAGAGAUAGGGCGUUCCCCUUCGGGGGACAGAGUGACAGGUGGUGCAUGGUUGUCGUCAGCUCGUGUCGUGAGAUGUUGGGUUAAGUCCCGCAACGAGCGCAACCCUUGAUCUUAGUUGCCAGCAUUCAGUUGGGCACUCUAAGGUGACUGCCGGUGACAAACCGGAGGAAGGUGGGGAUGACGUCAAAUCAUCAUGCCCCUUAUGACCUGGGCUACACACGUGCUACAAUGGAUGGUACAAAGAGCUGCGAACCCGCGAGGGUAAGCCAAUCUCAUAAAGCCAUUCUCAGUUCGGAUUGUAGGCUGCAACUCGCCUACAUGAAGCCGGAAUCGCUAGUAAUCGCGGAUCAGCAUGCCGCGGUGAAUACGUUCUCGGGCCUUGUACACACCGCCCGUCACACCACGAGAGUUUUGUAACACCCGAAGUCGGUGAGGUAACCUUUUGGAGCCAGCCGCCUAAGGUGGGAUAGAUGAUUGGGGUGAAAGUCGUAACAAGGUAACC